AACCUUUACACUGCACGACAGUGCGAUAGGGGGACACCGAGUGCGAGGGCAUAGAGCCCUCGCUUUUCUGAACCUUAAGGUGGUUCAGGAACAAGGGCUGGGCAAGACCGGUGCCAGCCGCCGCGGUAACACCGGCAGCCCAAGUGAUGGCCGAUUUUAUUGGGCCUAAAGCGUCCGUAGCUGGCCGCGCAAGUUCGUCGGGAAAUCCACGCGCUUAACGUGUGGGCGUCCGGCGAAAACUGUGCGGCUUGGGACCGGAAGAUCUGAGGGGUACGUCUGGGGUAGGAGUGAAAUCCCGUAAUCCUGGACGGACCACCGAUGGCGAAAGCACCCCAGAAGGACGGAUCCGACAGUGAGGGGCGAAAGCUAGGGUCUCGAACCGGAUUAGAUACCCGGGUAGUCCUAGCCGUAAACGAUGCUCGCUAGGUGUGGCACAGGCUACGAGCCUGUGCUGUGCCGUAGGGAAGCCGUGAAGCGAGCCGCCUGGGAAGUACGUCUGCAAGGAUGAAACUUAA
rnacentral:rRNA from 1 species